rnacentral:tRNA from 1 species
AGGGGGAAUGGNCGGGAUAGCUCAGUUGGUAGAGCAGAGGACUGAAAAUCCUCGUGUC